UCGAGGAUCCUUCGCAAUGGGGGAAACCCUGACGAUGCGACGCUGCGUGGAGGAUGAAGGCCUUCGGGUUGUAAACUCCUGUCAUGAGGGAAGAGGAGAGUGUCACUAACAUUGACGCGAUUUGACGGUACCUCAAGAGGAAGCCACGGCUAACUCUGUGCCAGCAGCCGCGGUAAUACAGAGGUGGCGAGCGUUGUUCGGAUUUACUGGGCGUAAAGGGCGCGUAGGCGGGGACGUGUGUCGGGUGUGAAAUCCCAGGGCCCAACCCUGGAAGUGCGCCCGAAACUGCGGCGCUCGAGUGCGGGAGGGGAGAUCGGAAUACAUGGUGUAGCGGUGAAAUGCGUUGAUAUCAUGUAGAACACCGGUGGCGAAGGCGGAUCUCUGGAACGCAACUGACGCUGAGGCGCGAAAGUCGGGGGAGCAAACA
rnacentral:rRNA from 1 species